CUGGAAAGCCUGGGGGGCGGGCCUUAACACAUGCAAGUCGAGCGGUAGAGAGAAGCUUGCUUCUCUUGAGAGCGGCGGACGGGUGAGUAAUGCCUAGGAAUCUGCCUGGUAGUGGGGGAUAACGUUCGGAAACGAACGCUAAUACCGCAUACGUCCUACGGGAGAAAGCAGGGGACCUUCGGGCCUUGCGCUAUCAGAUGAGCCUAGGUCGGAUUAGCUAGUUGGUGAGGUAAUGGCUCACCAAGGCGACGAUCCGUAACUGGUCUGAGAGGAUGAUCAGUCACACUGGAACUGAGACACGGUCCAGACUCCUACGGGAGGCAGCAGUGGGGAAUAUUGGACAAUGGGCGAAAGCCUGAUCCAGCCAUGCCGCGUGUGUGAAGAAGGUCUUCGGAUUGUAAAGCACUUUAAGUUGGGAGGAAGGGCAUUAACCUAAUACGUUAGUGUUUUGACGUUACCGACAGAAUAAGCACCGGCUAACUCUGUGCCAGCAGCCGCGGUAAUACAGAGGGUGCAAGCGUUAAUCGGAAUUACUGGGCGUAAAGCGCGCGUAGGUGGUUUGUUAAGUUGGAUGUGAAAUCCCCGGGCUCAACCUGGGAACUGCAUUCAAAACUGACUGACUAGAGUAUGGUAGAGGGUGGUGGAAUUUCCUGUGUACCGGUGAAAUGCGUAGAUAUAGGAAGGAACACCAGUGGCGAAGGCGACCACCCUGGACUAAUACUGACACUGAGGUGCGAAAGCGUGGGGAGCAAACAGGAUUAGAUACCCUGGUAGUCCACGCCGUAAACGAUGUCACUAGCCGUUGGAAGCCCUUGAGCUUUUACUGCCGCAGCUAACGCUUAAGUUGAC
rnacentral:rRNA from 1 species